GAUGCGAGCAUGCCUAUCUUGACAGUAACGUCCACUUUGAUCUGGUAACGCCUACUUCAAUGGAUGGUCCACAUUGAACAGUUGACUUGCUACUUGUGACUGCGACAUUAUCCACCUCCUCACGCUGUUGCUACUCAGUCUCGUCUCGAUCAUACACAACGUCAGCCGGCAUACACCUCGACUGCUAAAUGCAACACAGGAGCGACUACGACCGUGAAGUUAAUACACCUCUCACAUUCAGUACUAAGAAAACCCGGUGACCUUAAUCCAGCUCUCCCGGUCUUUCACAAGUACAGCAACUAGUGGUAUCCGUUCAUCGAAUUCUAUCCCUGAUAAAAUUCUGGUGGGGGAGUAUUGCGGCGUAACUACCACUACGAUUAUUAAACAUCAAUUCACUGGUAUAUAAGACAUGCCAACUUGAUUCAAUCUUGAGGUAUCUUUUGAUAGAUGAAGGUUGGCAUUGUCGAUAAAUUCGCCCCCCACAGUGUGUUUACUUAAGAAAUAAAUUAAUUUCUAUUUUAUUCCUGAAACAGGUUUUAGAAAUAUCAAUAAAAUCUGAUGGGGAAGAUAAUCAAGGUGCAUCAGAUGAAAAUGAUCCUCACAAUCGAUCUUUCUCUUUCCAAAGCUCGGGAAGGUCGAAUUCAGAGGAGAGUGGGAAGCAACCUUCGCAAUCAGAGAACUACUUUCCUUUAAAAGUGCGUACAGGACCAGUCCGAAUGGCUUCAGGUUUCCAUGCCCACCUGGUGUGCCUAACAAUAGGUGUAGAAGGGGAACCUCAACCUAAAGUUACUGCUCUUGCCCUUCAAGCAGGAUAUGGGCU